rnacentral:rRNA from 1 species
UACGUAGGGACCAAGCGUUGUUCGGAUUUACUGGGCGUAAAGGGCGCGUAGGCGGUGCGGUAAGUCACUUGUGAAAUCUCUGAGCUUAACUCAGAACGGCCAAGUGAUACUGCAGUGCUAGAGUGCAGAAAGGGCAAUCGGAAUUCUUGGUGUAGCGGUGAAAUGCGUAGAUAUCAAGAGGAACACCUGAGGCGAAGGCGGGUUGCUAGGCUGACACUGACGCUGAGUGCGCGAAAGCCAGGGGAGCAAACGGG